rnacentral:rRNA from 1 species
CGCCUAAAAAAAAUUUUAGGUAAACUCUGCUCAGUGAAAUUAAACAGCCGCAGUACACUGACUGUGCAAAGGUAGCAUAAUAAUUUGUCCUAUAAUAGAGGGCUAGUAUGAAAGAGUUGACGUUACCUGCUCUUUUUUAGAAAAAUAAAUAAAAAUUGAUAUCUGCAUCAAAAAGUGCAGCUCACUAAAGGGACGAUAAGACCCUAUAAAGCUUAAACUAAAAACUCCGGUUUAAACAAAGAAAUAAAACCAAAAUAUUAGUUAAGCUGGGGCGGCAACUAAAACUCUUUAGAAAAAACAACAAUUAUUAUUGGUUUUAUAGAUCUCUUAAAAAAAUUAGAACAAGCUACUUUAGGGAUAACAGCACAAUUCCUCUUUAUAGAUCUUAUAGAAGGAGGAGACUUGUGACCUCGAUGUUGAAUUGGGGAGCUCUCUUUAAGCAAAAAUAAAGAAGAGGGGUCUGUUCGACCUUUAUCCCCCC